UCAAUAAAAAUAGUAAAUGAGAUAUAAUUUUAAUCAACAAUUUUUUAUGCAAAGCCCGUAAGAACUCUAAAUACAUAGUUUUCCAAGCCCAACGUUAGAAACAAAGCAACCGCACAUACAAUUUUGUUUCUAAUUUCAGACAAUAUUUCUGUCUAAAAAACAAAAAAAAAUAUCUCAAAUGGCGAUUGGGAAAGGUAUAUUUUGUUAAUCUUGAUUUUCUUCGGCGAAACUCUUCCCCGAUGGCUUUGAUGUUAUGAAUCAAAAGAAAUCGAAGUGAUCUGAAACAUUCAAAAGUAGAUCCUCGUGAAAUCGUCUGAUUUGAUGGCUUACCUGCAAAAAAAAUGGAGAUCUAACAUAAAAGCACUUCAACAGAUUCGUUAAGAAAAAAAACAGCAUUGGAUGGUUUCCAGGUGUGUAGCACUUUGAUUUGGAUCAACCAUGUCUAUUUCUAUGGACUAACCUCAUCAAGGCACGGUAUCUUUUGCUUGGUAGACAUUAUAGCUAUUAUUCGUUGAAAAGAACGUGAUUGCUUUGAUGUUUAGAUUGGUCAAGGCCGAUAGUUUAGCAUAUUCCCAUUCUAUACAGUUAGAGAAUAUUUUGUGAAUAUUACAUAUCUUGAGUAUCAAAUUAGUUAAGCUAUGGAAAUUAAGAUUUUCUAUAUCAGCAUAUUCGAUGUUUGUUAGAAACUUCUGAUUUAUUUCGUUUCUAUUUGACAAAAUGUAUUUGUGGAAGAUUGGUAAAUAUAAGGAUUGGCUCCUACUUUUCUGCUCUAGUAUAUUAGUUUUUUAUGUAACGACUUUUAAUUUUCUAGUUUCUAUUGUUUGUUAAUGAUUUGAAAAAGAUUUUACUAUAAUAAUAACUGGAACAGUAUUUUGAAUAGUUAUAAACGAAUUUGGCAUAGUAUUAAAUUUGAAUAUAUACUUUUUAUAAACACGCCGGCUUUAAGUUAAUAAUUAUCCAUAAUUGUAAUUUUGUGGGUUUUUCAAUAGAUGAGAGGUAAAAAAUAAAAAUAAGAACAUUAAUAUUUGGGGUUUAGGGUUUGUGAAUUAGGGCUUAAUAAGUUAUGAUCAUAUACGUUACGGUUUCAUAAUUAUGAAUACUGACAAAAUACAUUAUAUCAGGCUUUAGCUACAAUAUAUAUUACUUGUCAAUUUGGAAACCUUGAAACGUUGAAUCCAAAAUGUUAUUUGACCAUGAUGCUGUAAGUUUUGAUACAUAAAACCUGCAUACAGCCAUCUACUCUAUAAGCAAUGAAAAAACAAAUGGUUAAUGAUUGGUUACGUUAAUUGAAAUUAUAGCUAUUGUUUUUUAUGUACAGAGAAAUAAUAUCGACUAAAAGGAGGAAGUUGAACGGCAAAAGAGAAAAAAUGCAACAUAUUGUUUAUUAGAAAAAAAAGAUACCAUGGAAAUAUUGAAUUAAAUUAAAAGCAUAUAUUAAAUAUAUCUCAGUGGUAAGGAAUAGUAAAUACUUGUCAACUUAAAGGGUACCUCAAAAAAGGCCCUUUGGUUUUAAUAGUAUUGAUUAUGUUA